GAGACAGUUCGGUCCCUAUCUGCUGUGGGCGUUGGAGAUUUGAAGGAAGCUGCUUCUAGUACGAGAGGACCGAAGUGGACGAACCCCUGGUGGGCCGGUUGUUGCGCCAGCAGCAUUGCCGGGUAGCUAUGUUCGGAAAGGAUAACCGCUGAAAGCAUAUAAGCGGGAAGCCUCACCUAAGAUGAGAUCUCCCUUGAGAGCCGUUGAAGACGACAACGUUGAUAGGCUAGAUGUGUAAGUCCUGUAAAGGAUUCAGCUUACUAGUACUAAUUGCUCGAUCGGCUUGAAUAA
rnacentral:rRNA from 1 species